UGGUCACCUAGCUCAGUGGUCGUACACCUGCUUUGUAUGCAGAAAGUCCCAGGUUCAAUCCCUGGGAACUCAA